rnacentral:tRNA from 1 species
GGGGUGGUAGUUUAAUGGGAAAACGUUAGGAGCACUCGUCCUAAAGUUUCGGGUUCGAAUCCCGACCACUCCA